rnacentral:rRNA from 1 species
GUUAGGAAUAUUGGACAAUGGGCGCAAGCCUGAUCCAGCCAUGCCGCGUGAGUGAUGAAGGCCUUCGGGUUGUAAAGCUCUUUAGUUCACGAAUAUAAUGACUGUAGUGGAAGAAUAAGCCCCGGCUAACUUCGUGCCAGCAGCCGCGGUAAUACGAAGGGGGCGAGCGUUAUUCGGACUCACUGGGCGUAAAGCGUGCGUAGGCUGUUUUGUAAGUCAGAAGUGAAAGCCCAGGGCUUAACCCUGGAAUUGCUUUAGAAACUACAAGACUCGAAUUCGGGAGAGGAUAGCGGAAUUGUCAGUGUAGCAGUGAAAUGCGUAGAUAUUGACAGGAACACCAGUGGCGCAAGCGGCUAUCUGGACCGAUAUUGACGCUGAGGCACGAAAGCGUGGGGAGCAAACAGGAUUAGAAACCCGAGUAGUCC